UACCUGGUUGAUCCUGCCAGUAGUCAUAUGCUUGUCUCAAAGACUAAGCCAUGCAUGUCUAAGUAUAAAUAGCUUUGUACUGUGAAACUGCGAAUGGCUCAUUAAAUCAGUUAUAAUUUAUUUGAUAGUACUUACUACAUGGAUAACCGUGGUAAUUCUAGAGCUAAUACAUGCGAAAACACCCGACUUACGGAGGGUGGUAUUUAUUAGAUAAAAAACCAAUAUUUGCGUUGAUUCAUAAUAACUUUGCGGAUCGUUGGGUUCACCCCGUCGAUGAAUCAUUCAAAUUUCUGCCCUAUCAACUUUCGAUGGUAGGGUCUUGGCCUACCAUGGUUGCAACGGGUAACGGAGAAUUAGGGUUCGAUUCCGGAGAGGGAGCCUGAGAAACGGCUACCACAUCUAAGGAUGGCAGCAGGCGCGCAAAUUACCCAAUCCUAACUCAGGGAGGUAGUGACAAGAAAUAACAACUUCGGGCUUGCCCGAGAUUGGAAUGAGUACAACGUACAAUCUUUAACGAGUACCAACUGGAGGGCAAGUCUGGUGCCAGCAGCCGCGGUAAUUCCAGCUCCAGUAGCGUAUACUAAAGUUGUUGCAGUUAAAAAGCUCGUAGUUGAAUUUCUGUGUAGUGUACUUGCGGUCUCCGGACCAAUAUAUACUGCACAUCCAUCUGAACAGCACUUCUUGUCAUUCAUUUGUCGGUUGUGUGAUCAGAUACUUUACCUUGAGAAAAAUAGAGUGUUCCAAGCAGGCGUCCGCCUGAAUAAUAAAGCAUGGAAUAAUACAAUAGGACUGGGUUCUAUUGGUGCAUAGAACUUAGUAAUGAUUAAUAGGGACAGUUGGGGGCAUUUGUAUUUAAUUGUCAGAGGUGAAAUUCUUUGAUUUAUUAAAGACAAACCUAUGCGAAAGCAUUUGCCAAGGAUGUUUUCAUUAAUCAAGAACGAAAGUUAAGGGAUCGAAGACGAUCAGAUACCGUCGUAGUCUUAACCAUAAACUAUGCCGACUAGAGAUUGGAGGUGCAAUCUCAAUACUCCUUCAGCAUCUUAGGAGAAAUCAAAGUCUUUGGGUUCUGGGGGUAGUAUGGUCGCAAGACUGAAACUUAAAGGAAUUGACGGAAGGGCACCACAAGGUGUGGAGCCUGCGGCUUAAUUUGACUCAACACGGGGAAACUUACCAGGUCCAGACAUGGGAAGGAUUGACAGAUUAGAGAUCUUUCUUGAUUCCAUGGAUGGUGGUGCAUGGCCGUUCUUAGUUGGUGGAGUGAUUUGUCAGGUUAAUUCCGAUAACGAACGAGACCUUAGCCU
rnacentral:rRNA from 1 species